ACCUAAUUACUUUUAUGUUUUUUAUUUUGAUUCAUUAUCCAAAACUAAAAAAGGAUAUCAGAAUACAGUAUAUUCUGACAAAAUCCAAUUUUUUCAUGCCAAAAAAAUUAAAAUGCAAAAAAGUUAUGGUGAAAAAUCAAAAAUACAUACAUAUUAGGAAAAGGGGAUGUGGAAGCUUACAGGAAAUAAUAAAAAUCAGAGGAGAGCAAAAGGUUAAGGUAUGUGCUUCAGAGUCUUGGAGUCUGCUAAUCAACAGUCAGUGUAAUUAUGGUCAUAAUCAAUAGUUUACAGUUUACUUUUACUCUAAUUGAAAAGAUUGAGUCAAACUGUGCUAGAUCCAAUGUUCAUAAAACAAGAACAUCAUGUUAAAAGCAAACAAGAUUAUAAAAAUAAUACUCAAAAAAUAGUACUUGAUUAUUCCAAAUAAAAUGAUAAGUAACAAGUGUUUAUGAUUCACCUUGUAUUUACAUAUUUAAACCAAACUUUGAUUAAAAUUUUCCAAAAAAC
rnacentral:lncRNA from 1 species